AGUGAACGCUGGCGGUAGGCCUAACACAUGCAAGUCGAACGGCAGCACAGUAAGAGCUUGCUCUUACGGGUGGCGAGUGGCGGACGGGUGAGGAAUACAUCGGAAUCUACUUUUUCUUGGGGGAUAACGUAGGGAAACUUACGCUAAUACCGCAUACGACCUACGGGUGAAAGCAGGGGAUCUUUGGACCUUGCGCGAUUGAAUGAGCCGAUGUCGGAUUAGCUAGUUGGCGGGGUAAAGGCCCACCAAGGCGACGAUCCGUAGCUGGUCUGAGAGGAUGAUCAGCCACACUGGAACUGAGACACGGUCCAGACUCCUACGGGAGGCAGCAGUGGGGAAUAUUGGACAAUGGGCGCAAGCCUGAUCCAGCCAUACCGCGUGGGUGAAGAAGGCCUUCGGGUUGUAAAGCCCUUUUGUUGGGAAAGAAAAGCAGCAGGUUAAUACCCCGCUGUUCUGACGGUACCCAAAGAAUAAGCACCGGCUAACUUCGUG
rnacentral:rRNA from 1 species